rnacentral:tRNA from 1 species
CAAAACGUAGCUUAAGAAAAGCACCUAGUUUACACCUAGGAGAUUUCAUAAAAAUGAACGUGUUGAACUAA